ensembl:lncRNA
CGUGAUGGGAAGGAUGUUGGCAGCUGCCCGCUGUUAGGUCCUGGGGAGAUGUAUCCCCCAGAGGCAGCGGAGGGAGAGGAGAGCAAAGUCACAUAUGACAGGGCAAAAACUUUAUCCUGCACUUAAAGAAUAAAUAAAGAAAAAAAAUCCAUUCUGAGGGCUCAAAAUUCUCUAGCUGUUAAAAAUAUUGUACUUUGAGAAAAUGACAGGAAAAAACAAAGCACAAACCCAAAAGACAACUUCUAUAGCAAAAAAUGAAUAAACAGACUGGAAAAAAAAAUCACACUUAGUCACACCCUUUCUUGGCAAUGCUUGAAAAGGACUCUGGGAAGUGUGACCUGGGAGAAGUCCCUAGCACAUCUCAUGACUGCAGCCUUCCUGCAAUGGCACUAGUUGGGCUGGGAGCUGGAAGGGCGGAGCACGGUGAGGAGGAACAAAGCUACUUGUAUACAACACAUAUAUGCAUAAAUCAUCUUUUUCUGGUUUCUGCUGGUGGUAUACAUGCAUAACGUGUUAGAGAGAGGGGAGCUGAGAUAAUGUGAAAGCACAUGGCUCUUAAAGACGUUUGUUGGAACAAUUUAUUCUUCAUACUAGGCUGCUUUUUGGGGGAUUUGGGCUUUUUUUUUUUUAAGGCUGAUUGUGAACAGAGGGAGGAAUAUCACCAAGACUUGAGAGGUUUCUGAUGAAAGCCCUUGCUGUAGUACUUGUAAUAUGAUAAGGACUUAGAAAAACUGCCCUUUUGUAUACAAUCGCAAACCAUGUUGGCUAAACUGUUACACAACAUUUACUGUAGCAGAACAAUAUUUAUUGACUAACUUUUCAUAAUACAACAUAUUUGCCAUGCUUGCGACUAGGCAUGUUUCUAGUGGCUCCCUGUUUUGGACCUGGCCUUGCAGAAGCCCACGUCUGAGGAGUCAGUCCACCUACAACUUCUGCACUGCUGGAGUACAGAGAAUGACAUUAGACUCAGUGGUAAGUGACAACAAGUUUGGUCUCUUCACUUACAGAGGUUUUGAUUUUUUUGUUUUGUUUUGUUUUCUUUCUCCCAUUUUAUUUAUUUAAGUGUAGGCAAUCUAUUUCUUAGUAAGGUUCUGCUGAUCAAGUGGAUUUUUUAUAAUUAAAAAAACAUCCUCAGGCUAACACAGCAGAGCCACUCCCCUCCAGAGCACCCAGUCCAAGCCUGCUGCCAGCACCACCCUUGCAACCAGUUGCAGUUUGGGGGAGCAAGCCCACAGCAGUUGAUCGUGUCCGUGCUGCAUGUAUAAGUACUUACCUGCAGCAUUCAGGGAGGCUGCUCCUGUGUAGCUGUGUAAUCACAGGGGCUGUAGGUGACCUCCCCCAGGGUGGGAUCCCAACACACUCCUUGCACGCUAUUCCUGCUCGCAGGUAAGCGUGGGCUGUGGGCAGAGGCUUGUGCUGGGCUGAAGCUCCUGGGCAGGAGCAGAGAGUGGCCACCCACAGAGUGCAGCACAGGCUGCAGCACCCUCAGGGUGAAGCCCCCUGCGGACUGCAAUUGACUGUGGUGAAGCAGCAAACAGUCCCACAGCCUUUGCUCCAUCUAGCAACAAAGUAUGCUUCCUGCAAUGCAUCUCUGGAAAAUGUGUGAAAAGUAGCCUAAUAGUGAAGGUGCGCAUCUUUGGUUUUGCUGGUUUAUGCCUAAUCUUGCUUUUGUCUAACCUUGUCUAUGCUAAAACACUUAAAACCUAAUUCAAUACUGAUUACCGUAUGUUACACAGAUGUCUGGUAUCUUAAUCAGCUCUCCAGUUCCUUGUACUUUCUAAGGUCCUAAUACAUUUACUAUACAACAGAGUAUUAUCUGUAAGAAAAACUACUGUAGAAAUGCCAAUGAAAAUGAACAGUGCUAUAUACCUGCACUUCUAUAUUAGAAUAUAACAUUUUCAAAUAUAAGUUGCUUUAUUAGGGGCAGGAAUUUUUGUUGCGGUUUCUUUCUUUUUUUUUUUUCUUUUUUUCUGUUUUUUCUUUAAAUAUAUAUGCAUUUUUAAGAAGGGCCUGAAAUCAUGGACCUAAUCCUUUUUCACUCACCUAGAGGAAUGUUAAGUUGUGCUAAUUCUGUCACUAGACCAACAUCCAGAAUAAAUCCAGUGUGAUGAAUGCGGGAAUAAGCA